GACGAACGCUGGCGGCGUGCUUAACACAUGCAAGUCGAGCGGUAAGGCCCUUUCGGGGGUACGACGAGCGGCGAACGGGUGAGUAACACGUGGGUGACCUGCCCUUAGCUCUGGGAUAAGCCUGGGAAACUAGGGUCUAAUACCGGAUAUGACUCCAUGACGCAUGUUGUGGGGUGGAAAGCCUUGUGCGGCUAGGGAUGGGCCUGCGGCCUAUCAGCUUGUUGGUGGGGUGAUGGCCUACCAAGGCGACGACGGGUAGCCGGCCUGAGAGGGCGACCGGCCACACUGGGACUGAGACACGGCCCAGACUCCUACGGGAGGCAGCAGUGGGGAAUCUUGCGCAAUGGGCGAAAGCCUGACGCAGCGACGCCGCGU
rnacentral:rRNA from 1 species